AAAAUUUUCUCUGGGUUGAAGAAAUUUUCACCCGGCCAUGGCAGCGUCAAAAUUUCUUCAAUGCAAACGGAAAUUUUAUCUUCCUUUCGCCAUCGAUUUUCUUACCUUGUCAAGGAGAGAGAUCCAAGCCCUAGGCCGAAGGAAUCGAGGGGUUUUUGUACGGUGAUAGAUGAGUACCGGAAUCGGUUAUUGAUUCGGUUGAAGGAAUCGAGGAGUUUCCUGAAUUGCCGAUGAAAGCAGAGCUUAUUUCCUCGGAAAUUCCACGAAUUGCACUGAGAACUUCGGAAAGAAGAAAGGCCUUCAAGGAUGGGGCAAGUACUACUCGAUCACAACGAAAGUAAUUUUCUUUUUGAAUUUAACAUUCUGCCAUUUGUGUCGUUACCCUUAAAUGUCCUCACAAUCUCAUUGUUCUUCGUACAAUCAUUAACAAAAAUCCCUGGAAAUGGAACCCCAUGUCUUCCUUUUUCUCCUCACCGGCCAGAAUUUUGACCACUCUCCAAACAAAUCCUUUCAACCUUAUUUUUCUUCACUACACAUUUCCAAAAAUUUCAUUUCCCUCCUUGGAAAAUCUUCGUGGAUGCUGAAACCUGCGGCUGGGAACCCAUUGUUCUCGAUCAAGUCCAGUGCUGAACCCUCCCAAUGGACUGCUCGGAUCAAGGGUUUAAGGGAGCCAAAUCCUUUCUUAGGAAUGUUUUGGCGAGCAUGGAGGCUGUUUAUCUGAGUCGGAAUUCCACUGAAAAAUCCGUUUUGGAGCUUGUUCGAUCUGUUCAUGAUGAUACAAUUUGUUAUGAUCAUAUUGCAUUUAGAACUUUUGGGGACAUAAUCAGAAAAUACACUGAAUAAUGUUCUUUCAAUUGGAAGAAGCAUGUUCUGCUCUGGCAGGUGUUCUGGGUUCCUUGACAUUCAGAGAUUAAGCAAUUAGCAAGGUUUUUAAUCUCCCAUAACUCUGAAACUUAUGUUAUUUAGUUCACCAUAUUAUCAUGGAGGAUUUUUGUUUUGGAUGAACGAAGUUUCAUCGCUGAAAUGUGAUUUGACCGAGAAUUUGAAAACAAAAAUGCAUACCCUUUUGCUUCUUACUCACUCACGCUUAUGUUUAUUUGAUCCAAUACUAAUGCUCCCUUACUUUUCAUGCUUGCCACCUCUGGAAAUAGUGUUGGCUUGGUUUGGAACAUUAGUAAAAAAUAAUUGUAAUAUUGUUUUUAAGACAUUGUAAUUUUGAGGUGAUAUAAGAUGAAUAGGUUGUCCAGGAAUCAAUUUUUCUAUAUUACCUUACCCCUCUACCUUAAUAAUAGACAUGUGUGUCCUCUAGUUUCACUUUAGUUGUGUCUUCUAUGUUAUUUUUUAGUUUUUUUGCUUGCAUUUAAACACACACAUGGUUGUUGAAAUGGGGUUCUCAAAUGAAUUGUUGGUUUUUUUUUCAGAAGUGACCUUAUUUUUGUGUCUCUGUGCAACUUUAAUAUGAGGUUAUUAAGGAAGGAGAUAGAGGAGGAAGAAGGGAGAGA